GUUGUACGAGAGUUUUAAACUCCAGUAGCGGACGGGUGAGUAACACGUAAGAAUUUGCCUUUAGGAGGGGGAUAACAGUUGGAAACGACUGCUAAUACCCCAUAUGCUAACAGUGAAAUGGAUUUUCCGCCUAAAGAGAAGCUUGCGGCUGAUUAGCUUGUUGGUAAGGUAAUGGCUUACCAAGGCGACGAUCAGUAUCUGGUUUGAGAGGACGAUCAGACACACUGGAACUGAGACACGGUCCAGACUCCUACGGGAGGCAGCAGUAGGGAAUUUUCCGCAAUGGGCGAAAGCCUGACGGAGCAAUACCGCGUGAGGGAUGACUGCCUAUGGGUUGUAAACCUCUUUUUUCAGGGAGGAAUAAAUGACGUGUACCUGAAGAAUAAGCAUCGGCUAACUCCGUGCCAGCAGCCGCGGUAAGACGGAGGAUGCAAGUGUUAUCCGGAAUCACUGGGCGUAAAGCGUCUGUAGGUUGUUUAAUAAGUCAACUGUUAAAUCUUGGGGCUCAACUCCAAACUUGCAGUUGAAACUAUUCGACUAGAGUAUAGUAGGGGUAAAGGGAAUUUCCAGUGGAGCGGUGAAAUGCGUAGAUAUUGGAAAGAACACCGAUGGCGAAGGCACUUUACUGGGCUAUUACUGACACUCAGAGACGAAAGCUAGGGUAGCAAAUGGGAUUAGAUACCCCAGUAGUCCUAGCCGUAAACAAUGGAUACUAUAUGUUGCAUACUUUAUGCAGUAUUAAAGCUAACGCGUUAAGUAUCCCGCCUGGGAAGUACGCUCACAAGAGUGAAACUCAAAGGAAUUG
rnacentral:rRNA from 1 species